CGGGGUGAGUAAUGUAUGGGGAUCUGCCCCGAUAGAGGGGGAUAACUACUGGAAACGGUGGCUAAUACCGCAUAAUGUCUACGGACCAAAGCAGGGGCUCUUCGGACCUUGCACUAUCGGAUGAACCCAUAUGGGAUUAGCUAGUUGGUGAGGUAACGGCUCACCAAGGCAACGAUGCAUAGCCGACCUGAGAGGGUGAUCGGCCACAUUGGGACUGAGACACGGCCCAA
rnacentral:rRNA from 1 species